CACAUUAGAAUAUCCUUGUCAUAAUUUUACCCACAAAAUCUCUUUGUUGUUAUGUGUUUUCAUAGGGUUACUGAGGUUGAGGACAACAACCUGGUGCAGCUGGAGACCAUGGAUGGAAAGCCACUGAAAACAAAAACAUCCUAUGCUUCAGUGAAACCCCUGCAUAUGAGAUCACAAGCAGGCCAACCCACCGAGGAGGCUGUACCCCCUCCAGCCGAGUCAGUGCAUUCAGAUGACCUGUAAUUGCACAACUUUGAGUUGGAGGAGGACCCGCUUCAGGUGAAUGGAAAAGACAAUCAUCAUAUAU